AUGUCGGGGGAGGACGUCCGCAAGGUCCAGAAUCUCAUCGAGCGCUGUCUCCAGCUGUAUAUGAACCAGAAAGAAGUGAUUGAUACCCUCUCCCUUGAGGCCAAGAUAGAACCGAGCUUUACUGAACUUGUUUGGCAAAAACUUGAGGAAGAGAACCGUGAAUUUUUUAAGGCAUACUAUUUGAGGCUGAUGCUUAAGAAUCAAAUAACGGCCUUCAACAAGCUUCUUGAGGAUCAGUUCCAGCUUAUGAACAAAGACUAUUCUUCAGGGAUCCCUUCUAUGCCUCUUACUAAUGGCUCCAACUCCACAACAUUGAAGCAAAACUUGUGCUUUUUACCAGAGUCUGGUCCCAUAUCUGCAAUGCCAAAUGGUGUGAUGCGCAAUGGAAGUUCAGGUGGUUUAGUAAAUGGAACAUCAUCUGGUGAUCAUUCAAUUUAUGGUGGUAAAGACAUUCAUGGUCCUCAUAGUAGCAUGGAUGCUUCAACCAACGUGCUACCAGCCCAAAAUGCAUCUGCUCUGCUGUAUGGUGCAGAUAAUAAUGGUACAACAAUAAAGACAGAGUCAAGCUAUUCGAGCAACGCUGAUUUUGCUUUCUGUGGGAACGCUUUCCUUGAAUCAUGCCAAUCAAUUGGCGAUGCCUCGGGUGGUUCCUUUAGCAGCUCAGAUUUGAACGGGCAACCACUGAAUGAUGCACUUUUGGAUAUGGAGUCAUCGUCAUUUGGCUUCUUGAGCCAGAUUCCCCGGAAUUUCAGUUUUUCAGACUUAACAGAGGGGUUCAAUCAAAAUACAGAAGUAUUAGAGAAUUAUGGCAGGUCGCCAUUUCUCUCAUCUGAGCCAAAUAACUUCUCAGAUUCUACAGGUGGAGAACAUACAGGUAAUCCAUUUUCGUCCAGUCUUCUUUUCCAGAGCCAGCCAUGA
rnacentral:rRNA from 1 species